rnacentral:sRNA from 1 species
GCACCUGCAAAAUCAGGUGUCGGGAUUUGCACCCCGCCGAGAAUUCUACCGCGACCAAAUGACACGCCGCGAGCGUGUUUUUU